rnacentral:lncRNA from 1 species
UCUUUCAGCUUCUCCAGACUUUGAUCUUGGGAGAGAUCAAACAGGGUCAGGCCAUGGAUAGCAGAUUUUGAAUGAAAACCCAGACAGGGUUUUGUGACGUGGAGAUGAUGUGGAGAGCUUAAAAAGAAGACAAGGCAGUGCAAGUAGUCCAUCCUGACACAUCACUGGCUCGGUGCUCAACUAAAUCAAGUCAGAAUUCAGACCUCUUAUAUUAGUAUCAGUUCACACUCAGAGUACGAAACUGUGAAGAGCGGAGCUGAGUUUGGCAGCACGAGUCGGGAGAAUUUACAACGCGAAACUCAGAGCAAACUCAUGAUAAAGGGCAGAAAUCAGCGCUGGCUGAGCUCCAUCCCAGUCAGUGGGCCAGAUCCUGAGCAGCUAUAAACAGACACAGCGCUGAGUAUUUCAUAGCAACUGCAGCACUCGUGUCGUUCAGCCCAACAGCCUCUUGCACGGAGGCAGAGUUUGACUGGUUCUGGUGGGGCUCCUCCUGAUUUAUACCCCUGAGCAAGCAAGCAGAGCGCUGGUCUGUCCUCACCAAUUAAAGCUGCCCCACAAUUACGUCUGCUGAGUGUCACAGAUUCAAACUUUAAACACAAAGCAACAGCCGAAGCUGGAUAUAAAGAAGCAGGAGGGCAGAGUUUUAUGAUCAAUGUUUUAUUGGAAUCAUAUAAAAAAGCAUUUCACAUCUUUCACGGAGGCAUUUUAUGUGCAAAUUUAAUAUAAAUCCUUU